CGGUAAACAGAGGGAAGCGAGCCCGCGAGGGGAGCGAAUCCCAAAAAUAACGUCCCAGUUCGGAUUGUAGUCUGCAACUCGACUACAUGAAGCUGGAAUCGCUAGUAAUCGCGGAUCAGAAUGCCGCGGUGAAUACGUUCCCGGGUCUUGUACACACCGCCCGUCACACCAUGGGAGUCGGAAAUGCCCGAAGUCUGUGACCCAACCGCAAGGAGGGAGCAGCCGAAGGCAGGUCGGAUGACUGGGGUGAAGUCGUAACAAGGUACC
rnacentral:rRNA from 1 species